rnacentral:tRNA from 1 species
GGGCCCGUGGCUCAAGCUGGUAGAGCGAGUGACUCUUAAUCACUAGGUUGAGGGUUCAAAUCCCUUCGGGCCCA